rnacentral:rRNA from 1 species
AGUGGCGAACGGGUGAGUAACGCGUGGACAACCAACCUUAUAGUGGGGGACAACACUUCGAAAGGAGUGCUAAUACCGCAUACGCUCUUCGGAUCGCAUGGUUUGAAGAGGAAAGGGGCAAUUGCUCCGCUAUAAGACGGGUCCGCGUCUGAUUAGCUAGUUGGAGGGGUAACGGCCCACCAAGGCGACGAUCAGUAGCCGGUCUGAGAGGAUGAACGGCCACACUGGGACUGAGACACGGCCCAGACUCCUACGGGAGGCAGCAGUGGGGAAUCUUCCGCAAUGGACGAAAGUCUGACGGAGCGACGCCGCGUGAGUGAAGAAGGCCUUCGGGUCGUAAAGCUCUGUCAUCAGGGACGAACGGCCGGUGGAGUGGAAAGCCACCGGAUUGACGGUACCUGAGAAGGAAGCCACGGCUAACUACGUGCCAGCAGCCGCGGUAAUACGUAGGUGGCAAGCGUUGUCCGGAAUUAUUGGGCGUAAAGCGCGCGCAGGUGGGAUCUUAAGUCCAUUUUGAAAGUUCGGAGCUCAACUCCGUGAUGGGAUGGAAACUGGGAUUCUUGAGUACCGGAGAGGAAAGCGGAACACCCCGUGUAGCGGUGAAAUGCGUAGAUAUGGGGAGGAACACCAGUGGCGAAGGCGGCUUUCUGGACGGUGUCUGACACUGAGGCGCGAAAGCUAGGGGAGCGAACGGGAUUAGAUACCCCGGUAGUCCUAGCC